rnacentral:rRNA from 1 species
GAUGAACGCUAGCGGCAGGCUUAACACAUGCAAGUCGAGGGGUAGGAGAAGCUUGCUUUUCUGAGACCGGCGCACGGGUGCGUAACGCGUAUGCAAUCUACCUUUCACAGAGGGAUAGCCCAGAGAAAUUUGGAUUAAUACCUCAUAGUAUAAUUGAAUGGCAUCAUUUAAUUAUUAAAGAUUUAUCGGUGAAAGAUGAGCAUGCGUCCCAUUAGCUAGUUGGUAUGGUAACGGCAUACCAAGGCAACGAUGGGUAGGGGUCCUGAGAGGGAGAUCCCCCACACUGGUACUGAGACACGGACCAGACUCCUACGGGAGGCAGCAGUGAGGAAUAUUGGACAAUGGGCGCAAGCCUGAUCCAGCCAUGCCGCGUGCAGGAUGACGGUCCUAUGGAUUGUAAACUGCUUUUAUACAGGAAGAAACACUCCCUCGUGAGGGAGCUUGACGGUACUGUAAGAAUAAGGAUCGGCUAACUCCGUGCCAGCAGCCGCGGUAAUACGGAGGAUCCAAGCGUUAUCCGGAAUCAUUGGGUUUAAAGGGUCCGUAGGCGGUCAGGUAAGUCAGUGGUGAAAGCCCAUCGCUCAACGGUGGAACGGCCAUUGAUACUGUCUGACUUGAAUUAUUAGGAAGUAACUAGAAUAUGUAGUGUAGCGGUGAAAUGCUUAGAGAUUACAUGGAAUACCAAUUGCGAAGGCAGGUUACUACUAAUUGAUUGACGCUGAUGGACGAAAGCGUGGGUAGCGAACAGGAUUAGAUGCCCUGGUAGUCCACGCCGUAAACGAUGGAUACUAGCUGUUGGGAGCAAUCUCAGUGGCUAAGCGAAAGUGAUAAGUAUCCCACCUGGGGAGUACGAACGCAAGUUUGAAACUCAAAGGAAUUGACGGGGGCCCGCACAAGCGGUGGAGCAUGUGGUUUAAUUCGAUGAUACGCGAGGAACCUUACCAAGGCUUAAAUGUAGUUUGACCGGUUGGAAACAG